AUUGUGUGACUUAUUAAUUAGAUAUAUAUUUUUUAUACUUUAUCGGAAAAAUUUCUUCAAAUGAAAAAUUCUCACUAAGUGAAGAUAGUUACACUAGUAAGUCAACAUGUGUUGUUCGAUAUUAUACCAAGAAAUUGUUGAAACUUCCUUUUCGUUGUUUGAAGAAUGCAUUCAUAAAGCACUGAUGCAAAUAGUAUACAAAGGUCUCAUUCAGAUUGGAGAGAAGCUUGGCACAGGGAAAAAUAUGUACGAUGUAGGGAGACACUAAUGAAACACCUAUUUUGGGCAUGUGAAAAUGAUAUUUAUCGAAUCAACAGAAGAAGACCAGCCAAAAGAUCCGACAAUAUUUUCGAUGAGGACGUGAAAUAUCCUUGGAUUCCAGAAAAAAAGGCAAAAAUCUUUUUACGUUUCCGACGAGGCAAGAUCAGAAGAACAGGCUCCAUAACUUCAGAAUGUUGCAAAUCUUCAGAGUGUUCUUGGGAAGAAUAUGCGGAAUAUUGUCCCACUAAUAAACGUUAUACAUCUUAUGUUUAACUGAACAUUCACUGAUUACUUUGUCCACUAUGGGAAGUAUUCGAAUUACAACCAAAAUGUUGAGACUAUUUGUGUUUUACUCAAUGAAAAUUGUUCAUUUUUAAUGAAGAAUUUUAUUAUGAAUAAAUUAUUUUUUUUAUGUGUUUCGCUUCCAUAUUUUAUAUCGAUACUCUCAUAAAUUACUGACUGAGAUGUUGAACUAAAUAGUAAACUUAGCAUUGAAACAAUUUUUUUGUGUAAUAUGACAUCAACAUGGUUAAUAAUUGUAAAUAUUUCAGCCUGAUAAAAGAUAUAAAAUUAUCUUUCGACAUUGAGAGAAAUAUUUCAUUAAAAAUAUCAAGAAAGCAAAA